rnacentral:rRNA from 1 species
UACGGGGGGGGUAAGCGUUGUUCGGAAUUACUGGGCGUAAAGCGUGCGCAGGCGGUUUUGUAAGCCAGAUGUGAAAGCCCCGGGCUCAACCUGGGAAUGGCAUUUGGGACUGCAAGGCUUGAGUGCGGCAGAGGAGACUGGAAUUCCUGGUGUAGCAGUGAAAUGCGUAGAUAUCAGGAGGAAUACCGAUGGCGAAGGCAGGUCUCUGGGCUGACACUGACGCUCAUGCACGAAAGCGUGGGGAGCAAACAGG